rnacentral:sRNA from 1 species
ACCCAGAGUAUGCAGGGUUUUCCUCCAAAUUUGGGUUCUGCAUUCAGUACCCCUCAGUCACCAGCAAAAGCAUUUCCACCCCUUUCAACCCCCAAUCAGACCACUGCAUUCAGUGGUAUUGGAGGACUUUCAUCACAGCUUCCAGUAGGUGGUCUUGGCACAGGCAGCCUGACUGGUAUAGGAACUGGUGCUCUUGGACUCCCUGCAGUGAAUAACGACCCUUUUGUACAGAGGAAACUGGGCACCUCUGGACUGAAUCAGCCUACAUUCCAGCAGACGGACUUGUCUCAGGUGUGGCCAGAGGCAAACCAGCACUUUAGUAAAGAGAUAGAUGAUGAAGCAAACAGCUAUUUCCAGCGAAUAUAUAAUCAUCCACCACAUCCAACCAUGUCUGUUGAUGAGGUAUUAGAGAUGCUGCAGAGAUUUAAAGACUCUACUAUAAAGAGGGAACGAGAAGUAUUUAACUGUAUGCUAAGGAACUUGUUUGAAGAAUAUCGUUUUUUUCCCCAGUAUCCUGAUAAAGAGUUACAUAUAACAGCCUGCCUGUUUGGUGGUAUAAUUGAGAAAGGACUGGUCACUUACAUGGCACUAGGUCUGGCUCUACGAUAUGUUCUUGAAGCCUUACGCAAGCCUUUUGGAUCCAAAAUGUAUUAUUUUGGGAUUGCUGCACUAGAUAGAUUUAAAAACAGUAUAUUGAGUAUGGACAGCAGUCUAGAGAUCCUCCUGUGAAAAUGCAAGGCUCUAUCACAACCCCUGGAAGUAUUGCACUGGCUCAGGCCCAGGCUCAGGCCCAGGUUCCAGCAAAAGCUCCUCUUGCUGGUCAAGUUAGCACUAUGGUAACCACCUCAACAACCACCACUGUUGCUAAAACGGUUACGGUCACCAGGCCAACUGGAGUCAGCUUUA